GGGUAAAUAGCUCCAAUGGUAGAGCACUAGAUUGAAGAUCUAGGUGUUGUUGGUUCGAAUCCAUCUUUACCCA
rnacentral:tRNA from 2 species